rnacentral:tRNA from 1 species
UGUCCAGGAGCGGGAAUCGAACCCACAACCUUCUGCUUACCGGGCAGGUGCCAUGUCCACUAGUUGUGGGUUCGAUUCCCGCUCCUGGAC